rnacentral:rRNA from 1 species
ACACCAGCGCCACAAGUGGCAAUCACGUUUAUUGGGCCUAAAGCGUCCGUAGCCGGCCAUAUAAAUUUUCUGUGAAAUCGUUGAGCUUAACUUAACGGCGUGCAGAAAGGACUGUAUGGCUAGGGACCGGGAGGCGUCAGAGGUAUUCUGGAGGGAGCGGUAAAAUGCUAUAAUCUCAGGAGGACCACCUGUGGUGAAGACGUCUGACGAGAACGGAUCCAACGGUGAGGGACGAAAGCUAGGGGAGCGAACCGGAUUAGAUACCCGAGUAGUCC